CCUAACUCUUGCUCCAUCUCCUCCGCCCCCAUUUUCUCCCUCCUCUCCCUUCUUCUUUGAUUUCCGCCAUUGAAAUUCUCUCUCUUCCCUUUUCCUCAUCUCUCCUGCAAUUAAUACUCCAUAGACUUGGUGAAGCUUUUUGUGUUCCACAAAAAUGGUGUCCGGUAAUCUAUUAUUCUUGUUCUUCAAUUUCCGAAGCUCGCGCAGCUCUCUCGCCUUUCCAUCUUCAUUUUCGCUCUUCUAAUGAUAUCUCACCUAAAUGACAUGUACAAGAGAUUACAAGACUGUAACCAUAGUUUGCGGCAGUAUAAUAGCAAACUUCAAACGGUGCUUUCUACAGCCAGUGAGACCUUGAAACGCGCCGAGUGAGAAAGAUGUUGUAGUCGAAAACCUCAACACCUUGAGGGGGAAAGUACAGUUCAUUGCAGGAUCAGUUUCCGUCAUCCAUGAUCAAUAAAACUUCCUCCUUUUAUGGUGGCUGGAGCUGGAAGACCUCUUAAGAGGAAUAAAGGGAAAGAUUGGACAACUGCAUUUUGAGAUAAGAUUUGACAAUAUACAUACCUAAUACCUCCACUCGCCAUGAGAUAAGAUUUGAUUCAAGUGUGUGUUGUAGUUAUACAUUUUGGAGAAUAAGUCUGUUUUCAUCAAUUUUAAGGUUAGCGUGUGAAAGACUGAAAGUGUUGCCAUAAUCAUAACUGUUUGUGUUUUGUUCCCUGUUAAUGCUAGAUGGAAGAUUCGAUGAUGAGUAUCUAUAUGAGAUAGAACGGUCGAGCCAAUUUAAGCAAGAGUAUGAAAUGAGAAAA